AUUGAACGCUGGCGGCAUGCUUUACACAUGCAAGUCGAACGGCAGCACGAAAGAGCUUGCUCUUUUGGUGGCGAGUGGCGCACGGGUGAGUAAUGCAUCGGAACGUACCGAGUAAUGGGGGAUAACUGUCCGAAAGGAUAGCUAAUACCGCAUACGCUUUGAGAAGGAAAGUGGGGGCUCUUCGGACCUCACGUUAUUCGAGCGGCCGAUGUCUGAUUAGCUAGUUGGUGGGGUAAAGGCCUACCAAGGCGACGAUCAGUAGCGGGUCUGAGAGGAUGAUCCGCCACACUGGGACUGAGACACGGCCCAGACUCCUACGGGAGGCAGCAGUGGGGAAUUUUGGACAAUGGGCGCAAGCCUGAUCCAGCCAUGCCGCGUGUCUGAAGAAGGCCUUCUGGUUGUAAAGGACUUUUGUUAGGGAAGAAAAGGAUAGUGUUAAUACCAUUAUCUGCUGACGGUACCUAAAGAAUAAGCACCGGCUAACUACGU
rnacentral:rRNA from 1 species